rnacentral:lncRNA from 1 species
GGGCGAAGCGAGAGACGGUUCCGGACAGCCAGGAGCCUCUUCUGAGGGUGUCACGUGCGGUUGUGAGCUGCCAUGUGAGUGCAGGGACCUGAAUCCCAGACCUCUGCAAGAACAGCCGAGCACUCUUACGCACAGAGCUAUGGCUCCAGCGGUGUACACAUCCCAGCUGGCUUGUCACUCCCUCGGUAGCCCAGGACCGUGUCAAGUUCUCCUGAUUCAGCCCCCCCAAGAACUAGAACUGCAGGAAUGGAUAUAUCCAGUUAUAAUGGCUUUACAAUGGGGCAGAACACAUCAUAAAUUAGCAAAAAUAUG